UUUUUUCCUCUUGAGAGAGCAUUGUUUAAUGAGAAUUUCAGUCACCUUCAUGGGAAUAAUCUGAUCCAGUUCCAUCCAUCUGUUCCAACAAGCAAAACUCUGCUCCCCUAUGGACUGCAGUCCCACAAAAUGCUGGCCAAUCUGGCACCAAGGAUGCACUGCAUACCUCCGACGUUGAUGCUCCCUGUUUGAACUACUAAUUUUCUUUCUGUGCAGAUGUUAAUCUUCCAUUAGGAUUAAUAGAGCAGGUGUUUAUAUUACCAAAUGUUGCCUGCUUAUCUGUAAAGUUGCCUCAUCACUAUUUCACAGGGUUGCUGCCUAGCCACAAGGCUGUCUAGACACAUGAAAAAAUUUUAAACAUCAGAAAAGCUAUCUUAGCAAAUGAAAUACAUAUCUGGGGAGAAGAUAAGCUCAGAUGUGUUUGUUCCAGAAUAGUAACCAAGAUAAAAUCUCCAACUCCACUUGUUGAUUUUUCCUUCUUUCAGUGGAUUUUUGGGCUAUCUUUUGAGUUCUUUGAUACAUUUUUACAGUGUUGUUUUGAUGUCCAGGAAACUUCUUGGUGACUUGGUGUCUGAAGAUGAAAUAUCAUCAGAGGUUGGAAACCUCGUGUGAGGACUUUGUUCAAAAUGGUGCAUUGAAGAAAACCAUGAUGCAACCCAGGACAUUCCAUUCCAUCUUCUUCUUUGAUAAUACUGAGUUUUGUUUGAUAAGCCCCAGAGACUAAACCAUAAUAGGUCUAAUUAUGACUAUUCUGUGGAAAGACUGAUGCUGAAGCUGAAACUCUAAUACUCUGGCCACCUUGAUACGAAGAACUGACUCAUUAGAAAAUCCCCUGAUGCUGGGAAAGAUUGAAGGCAGGAGGACAAGGGGACAACAGAGGAUGAGAUGGUUGGAUGGCAUCACCAACUCGAUGGACAUGAGUUUAAGCAAGCUCCGGGAGUUGGUGACGGACAGGGAAACUUGACAUGCUGCAAUCCAUGGGGUCACAAAGAGUCGGACACGACUGAGUGACUGAACUGAACUGAACAGAUAAUCCUGUUCUACUUUGCCAGUGAUUGGUUUGGGUAUGAACAACUAGAACUUGAGACAUGAGAAGGUUGGCUGGGGGUGGUGGGCUUCUGAGAAUAACUUUACUCUUUGUUUGAAGAAGGACCAUAUGAAAGGCCCUUUUCUUUCUGCCUACCUCCUUUUGUUAGCUUGGGACAUGAAUAGUACCAAAGGAUGAACAGAAUCUGUGUCUGUG
ensembl:lncRNA